UGAGUACGAGACGCUAAGGCGUCGAAGUAGUGGAUGUCAUACUUCCAAGAAAAGCUUGCACUGUCAUAAAUAAAAACGCCUGUACCAUAACCGACACAGGUGGGUAGGUAGAGUAUACUAAGGGGCGCGAGAUAACUCUCUCUAAGGAACUCGGCAAAAUAACUCCGUAACUUCGGGAGAAGGAGUGCCGUAUUCGUAAGGCUGCAAUAACAAGAUCCAAGCAACUGUUUAUCAAAAACACAGGUCUCCGCUAAGUCGUAAGACGAUGUAUGGGGGCUGACGCCUGCCCAGUGCCAGAAGGUUAAAGAAGUCGGUUAGCAUUAGCGAAGCUGGUAACUGAAGCCCUGGUGAACGGCGGCCGUAACUAUAACGGUCCUAAGGUAGCGAAAUUCCUUGUCGGGUAAGUUCCGACCCGCACGAAAGGCGUAAUGAUUUGGAUACUGUCUCGGAGAGGGGCUCGGUGAAAUAGACUUGUCUGUGAAGAUGCGGACUACCUGCACCAGGACAGAAAGACCCUAUGAAGCUUUACUGUAACUUGAAAUUGAAAUUGGACUUUAUUCGCGCAGUAUAGGUGGGAGGUGUUGAUUAUGAUCUUGCGGGAUUAUUGGAGCCAUCAGUGAGAUACCACUCUUGUAAUGUUAGAUUUCUAACUUUGAAUCAUUAUCUGGUCAAAGAACAGUUUCAGGCGGGCAGUUUGACUGGGGCGGUCGCCUCCUAAAUGGUAACGGAGGCGUACAAAGGUUUCCUCUGAACGGGUAGAAAUCGUAUCUAGAGUGUAAAGGCAUAAGGAAGCUUGACUGUGAGACCUACAAGUCGAGCAGGGACGAAAGUCGGUCUUAGUGAUCUGACGGUACUGAGUGGAAAGGCCGUCACUCAACGGAUAAAAGUUACUCUAAGGAUAACAGGCUGAUCUCCCCCAAGAGUUCACAUCGACGGGGAGGUUUGGCACCUCGAUGUCGGCUCAUCGCAUCCUGGGGCGGUAGUACGUCCCAAGGGUUGGGCUGUUCGCCCAUGAAAGCGGUACGCGAGCUGGGUUCAGAACGUCGUGAGACAGUUCGGUCCAUAUCCGGUGUAGGCGUUAGAAUAUUGAGAGGAGCCUUCUUUAGUACGAGAGGACCGAGAAGGACAUACCUCUGGUGUACCAGUUAUCGUGCCAACGGUAAACGCUGGGUAGCUAUGUAUGGAGUGGAUAACCGCUGAAAGCAUCUAAGUGGGAAGCCCACCUCAAGAUAAGUA
rnacentral:rRNA from 1 species